GACAGAGGGUGCAAACGUUGUUCGGAAUUACUGGGCGUAAAGCGUGUGUAGGCGGUCGAGUAAGUCGGGUGUGAAAGCCCAGGGCUCAACCCUGGAAGUGCACUCGAUACUGCCCGGCUAGAGUACUGGAGAGGUGGUGGAAUUCUCGGUGUAGAGGUGAAAUUCGUAGAUAUCGAGAGGAACACCGGUGGCGAAGGCGGCCAACUGGACAGAUACUGACGCUGAGACACGAAAGCGUGGGGAGCAAACAGG
rnacentral:rRNA from 1 species